rnacentral:rRNA from 1 species
CGCGGGAUUACUCCUACGGAGGCAGCAGUAAGGAAUAUUGGUCAAUGCCCGCAAGGGUGAACCAGCCAUUCCGCGUGGAGGAUGAAGGCCCUAUGGGUUGUAAACUUCUUUUAGAUGGGAAGAAAAUGCUAGACGUAUCUGGUACUGACGGUACCAUUAGAAUAAGCACCGGCUAACUCCGUGCCAGCAGCCGCGGUAAUAAUCACUAGU